CGCCUACGGGACGCAGCAGUGAGGAAUAUUGGUCAAUGGGCUUACGCCUGAACCAGCCAAGUCGCGUGAGGGAAGACGGCCCUACGGGUUGUAAACCUCUUUUGUCGGGGAGCAAAGCGAACCACGUGUGGUUCAUUGAGAGUACCCGAAGAAAAAGCAUCGGCUAACUCCGUGCCAGCAGCCGCGGUAAUACGGAGGAUGCGAGCGUUAUCCGGAUUUAUUGGGUUUAAAGGGUGCGCAGGCGGAGGUGCAAGUCAGCGGUCAAAUUGCGGGGCUCAACCCCGUACUGCCGUUGAAACUGCAUC
rnacentral:rRNA from 1 species